CCCCCCACACACACACACUCACACAUCUGAGAGAACCAACAAAACAAAGAGGGAGUUUUCUUCCAGUUCAUGAUUUAAAACACGGACACGGACUCACUGGCUGAGCGGAGCGGACCAGCACUGGGAGGCACUAGGAGGCACUGCUUAUCCUGUCCUUAAUUGUGACAACUAGCAAAGUUUGAGCUGUCCUCGUUUCUCUCGGCUCCCUCGAGGAAUCUCCAGCAGUACUGAACGCAGCCUCGUCCAUGUGAACAUCAAACCAUCAAACCAGCAAACCAGCAAACCAGCAGCUCUGAACACAGGCUGGGACUGACUCACGAGGGUCCGACUGCCAGGAGAGGAUCCCAGCGAGGGAGGAGCCUGUCUUGCCGU